UGCAUAGCUCAGUUGGUUAGAGAGUGGUGCUGAGAACACCAAGGCUGCAGGUUCGAUCCCCGAAUGGGACAG